AUUGAACGCUGGCGGCAGGCCUAACACAUGCAAGUAGAACGAGUGGCGGACGGGUGAGUAAUGUCUGGGAAACGGCCUGAUGGAGGGGGAGAACUACUGGAAACGGUCGCUAAUACCGCAUACAAUCAGAUGUGCCCAGAUGGGAGUAGCUUGUUGGUGGGGUAACGGCUCACCAAGGCGACGAUCCCUCGUUGGUCUGAGAGGAUGACCAGCCACACGUGAACUAGAACACGGUCCCGACUCCUACGGGAGGCAGCAGUGGGGAAUAUUGCACAAGGGGCGCACGCCUAAUGCAGCCAUGCGGCGUGUAGACAGAAGGCCUUCGGGUUGUAAAGUACUUUCAGCGGGGAGGCUUUACCCGCAGAAGAAGCACCGGCUAACUCCGUGCCCGCAGCCGCGGUAAUAC
rnacentral:rRNA from 1 species